rnacentral:misc_RNA from 1 species
ACGCACCUUGCGCCCUCUGGUAUUCCGGAGGGCAUGCCUGUUUGAGUGUCAUGAUCAAUCUCUAAUCAGGAUUUCUGACUAGGGGAUUUGGGUGUUGCCUUCUGGCUCGCCUUAAAAGCAUUAGCGCGGUGUAUAAGUUUCGCCAGCUGCUACCAUUGUCUGUUUGUUAUUUACAGACCGGGAACGGGCAACCUAUUACCAUCUCAGACCUCAAAUCAGGUAGGACUACCCGCUGAACUUAA